AAAAGAUUUAGAACUCUUAGCUCCUUCUCCAGCAUUAUGUCUUCCUGGACGCUGUCAUGUUUCCCACCAUGGUGAUAAUGGUUAUCAUGGCCUUAGUUAUGGUGUCUCCACAGCAGCCAAGCCCUAAGACAGCCUGCAAUGCUGCCUGCUCCUUUACAAGGGUUUGAGCUGCAAGUCAGCACCCAAGAACGGCACCUCUCCUGAAGCAGGUCUACACCCAACCAGCCUGUGUGUUAGUAACUCUUAUUGUCACUGUGACAAAAUGCCUGACAGAAGUGACCUGAGCGAGGGAGGUUAUCCAGGCUCAGUUUCAGGGGAGCUCAGGUGAGAGUGGUGGCUGGAUGUUCACACUGCAGCAGGCAGGAUGCAGAGGAAGCAGGCCAGACCACAAGUGGGAAUUGUCUUCACAGGCCCGGCUCCAGUGAUCUCAUCCCCACCAUCUAGGCCUCAUGUCCCGAUGGUGCCACAUCUCCCAGAACAGUGCCAUCUGAGCCUCAGUACACACUCCAGACCCACAAUCUCCACACACUGCACACCCACAAUCUCCACACACUGCAGACCCACAAUCUCCACACACUCCAGACCCCAAUCUCCACACACUCCAGACCCCAAUCUCCACACACUCCAGACCCCAAUCUCCACACACUCCAGACCCACAAUCUCUACACACUCCAGACCCACAAUCUGCACACACUGCAGACCCACAAUCUCCACACACUGCACACCCACAAUCUCCACACACUGCAGACCCACAGUCCCCCAGAGCAGUGCCAUCUGAGCCUGCAGUACACACUCCAGACUUAAACCAUACGGCGUCCCAGCUGAAAAUACCUGCAGUGGAAAGUGC
rnacentral:lncRNA from 1 species